GAUGAACGCUAGCGGCAGGCUUAACACAUGCAAGUCGAGGGGUAGGGCAGCAAUGCCUGAGACCGGCGCACGGGUGCGUAACGCGUAUGCAAUCUACCUUGUACAGGGGAAUAGCCCAGAGAAAUUUGGAUUAAUGCCCCAUAGCAUAUUUGAAUGGCAUCAUUUAAAUAUUAAAGUUCAGGCGGUACAAGAUGAGCAUGCGUCCCAUUAGCUAGUUGGUAUGGUAACGGCAUACCAAGGCAAUGAUGGUAGGGGUCCUGAGAGGGAGAUCCCCCANACUGGUACUGAGACACGGACCAGACUCCUACGGGAGGCAGCAGUGAGGAAUAUUGGGCAAUGGGCGCUAGCCUGACCAGCCAUGCCGCGUGCAGGAAGACGGUCC
rnacentral:rRNA from 1 species